CUUGUUUUUUCAAGAACAACAUUGUUGCGUGUUUAAGGUACUUCUUCCAAUCGAGACGUUUGUGACUUCGUCAAAUAAUCCUUCUUUUGAUACGAAAGCUU
rnacentral:pre_miRNA from 11 species